rnacentral:lncRNA from 1 species
GGUUCUAGUUAGAAACUCUAGGUUUCUAGAAAGGUUAGGGUUGUAGAAUGUUAGACAAAUCAUGAUAAUCCAUGCUAUAUAAUGAAUAUGUUCUUGCUCUUAUUGACUUCCAUGAACAUGUGCUUUGUUGUGUUCUUAUAUUGGUUACGAUAACAUGAUUUGUUAUGGUUGUGGUGGAAUAAUAGACUUCCAUGAACAUGUGCUUUGUUGUGUUCUUAUAUUGGUUACGAUAACAUGAUUUGUUAUGGUUGUGGUGGAAUAAUUGGUUGUGAUUAUGACCUUGAAAAUCCUUGUGGUUGUGAGCUUGAAAUCCUUGAUUUAUAUGUGUAUGAGAACAUUUAAUAUGAUGGGUUGUUGUUGGAAGAAGUAGUGGUUGUCAUACCCCGAUUUUGGCCCUGAAAAUUUUUCCCCAUCAAUCACUCGUUUGCAUUCUUUCUUCAUUCACCUUCAUAUCCUUCAUUCAUGUUCAUGUUUACUAUUUCAUAUUUUCUAUGUUUUUCACAUUCCAAAUUUACAUUCAUAUUUUCUUCAUUCACAUUGAAAAAAUUCCAUUCAUAUUCAAGAAUUUCCACAUACUCAUUCAUAGUUCGAUUCCUUCGUUCAUUCAUUCAAUCAUAAUCAUCUAUGUACAUCGCAUAUGAAUAACUUAUAAAAAAAAC